AGGUUCACUGGAGACAGUGAUUAAAAGGGAACAAGGUGAGAAUCCUUGACAGUCCCGCUGCUGUGAGCAGACUUUAGUAGAGACGAACAAACAAGCCACUGGACAUUCUUCGGGAAGGCGUUCGCGCUCGGUUUGCAAAGUCAGAAGACCUGCCAUUGCG
rnacentral:ncRNA from 1 species